rnacentral:rRNA from 1 species
AGCGGCAGACGGGUGAGUAACGCGUGGGAACGUACCUUUUGGUUCGGAACAACUGAGGGAAACUUCAGCUAAUACCGGAUAAGCCCUUACGGGGAAAGAUUUAUCGCCGAAAGAUCGGCCCGCGUCUGAUUAGCUAGUUGGUGAGGUAACGGCUCACCAAGGCGACGAUCAGUAGCUGGUCUGAGAGGAUGAUCAGCCACAUUGGGACUGAGACACGGCCCAAACUCCUACGGGAGGCAGCAGUGGGGAAUAUUGGACAAUGGGCGCAAGCCUGAUCCAGCCAUGCCGCGUGAGUGAUGAAGGCCCUAGGGUUGUAAAGCUCUUUUGUGCGGGAAGAUAAUGACGGUACCGCAAGAAUAAGCCCCGGCUAACUUCGUGCCAGCAGCCGCGGUAAUACGAAGGGGGCUAGCGUUGCUCGGAAUCACUGGGCGUAAAGGGUGCGUAGGCGGGUAUUUAAGUCAGGGGUGAAAUCCUGGAGCUCAACUCCAGAACUGCCUUUGAUACUGAGGAU